CAUCCUGACUUAACUGAGGAUAUGUUAACAGCCCCUAAGAAGCUCAUCCAUAUGCUGAAGAAGACUGUGGGCUCAGUUUCAUGCAGAGGAAGAGUGGUGGAUGAAGCAUGGAAGCAGGCAGGCUGUGCAGCAAACUGAGACAUCCUGUGCCUCUGGUGCUGCCAUACAAUGGAGAAAAUAAGUGAAUUAUCUGAAUGGAGAUUGUGCCUGUUUGUGCAGUCCUUAUUGUAUACAUAUUCAGAAGAGUUGACUGCCUGUAUCUAAAAUCCAUCCAAAUCCUCUACAAGUGACACAGUCACUACCUGGAUCUGGAUACAAUUGGCAAGGAGGACAAAAGAACUAAUGGCAUGGAUUUAAUGGAUCAAGUUUCUCUUCUGCAGUUCAUCUCUUCAUUAAUGGCCCAUGAAAAGUGAAGACCAAGAUAUUUGGACCAAAGAGCUGCCAGAGACUAAACCAACCAUUACCCCUUGAAAGAUUGCAUCAUUGAUGCUUUAAAUUAAAACUUUAUUGCCAUUGUAAGAUGUCUGUGAGUUACCCAGAGAAAAUAAAAUAUAUGAUUUUCAGAGAGUGGUCAUUAUUUUUCAGCUAAAUAAGAAAUGUCCUUUCCCCUUGGGAGCAGUGUGAAAUGGAGCCCUCUGUAGGUCUUCCUCAGCUGGAUUCCUGGCCAAAGACUAUUCUACCUUUCCACGCACAUCUGGUUCUUUGUUCCUUUUGAAAGAGGUGAAUCAAGGUUUGGGUCACAUCUGCAGGCCCUAUUCUAACAGUAAAAUAAAAAGAAACAUA